rnacentral:rRNA from 1 species
UACGUAGGGUGCAAGCGUUGUCCGGAAUUAUUGGGCGUAAAGAGUUCGUAGGCGGUUUGUCGCGUCCGUUGUGAAAGCUUGGGGCUCAACCCCAAGUCUGCAGUGGAUACGGGCAGACUAGAGUCAGGUAGGGGAGAGUGGAAUUCCCGGUGUAGCGGUGAAAUGCGCAGAUAUCGGGAAGAACACCCGUGGCGAAGGCGGCUCUCUGGGACGGUACUGACGCUGAGAAGCGAAAGCGUGGGGAGCGAACAGG